rnacentral:rRNA from 1 species
UAGGGAAUCUUCCGCAAUGGGCGAAAGCCUGACGGAGCAACGCCGCGUGAGUGAUGAAGGUCUUCGGAUCGUAAAACUCUGUUAUUAGGGAAGAAUAAAUGUGUAAGUAACUAUGCACGUCUUGACGGUACCUAAUCAGAAAGCCACGGCUAACUACGUGCCAGCAGCCGCGGUAAUACGUAGGUGGCAAGCGUUAUCCGGAAUUAUUGGGCGUAAAGCGCGCGUAGGCGGUCAAUUAAGUCUGAUGUGAAAGCCCCCGGCUCAACCGGGGAGGGUCAUUGGAAACUGGUUGACUUGAGUGCAGAAGAGGAGAGUGGAAUUCCAUGUGUAGCGGUGAAAUGCGUAGAUAUAUGGAGGAACACCAGUGGCGAAGGCGACUCUCUGGUCUGUAACUGACGCGGAGGCUCGAAAGCGUGGGUAGCAAACAGG